CACUGUUUACAGCAGUUACAUGUAUUUCUAUUGAAUGUGAAUUAAAAAUUAAAAAUAUAAUAUAGUUAGAGACAAAUAUAAUUACAAUAUAAAAAAUAUAAUCAUACGCAUUUUCUCUGAUUAGUAUAAUAAAUAAUUUAUUUAGUUGCAUGCAGUUGAAAAAUAUAUUUUUAAAAUUUUAUCAUUUUAUAUAAAGUGAAAAAAAAUAUUUAAAAAAUGAAUAGAAAAGUAAGGUUAUUUUUUAUUUGAAGUUAUCAUAUCCGACUGAUACAUUUGGUAAGAUAUUGUUCUAAUUGUUACAGAUGGACAUUCUCAUGCAGUUUUAACUGUAAUAAUAGUGUUUGUUAUAUAUGCAGUUGCAUGUAACUAAAUAGCUCCUUUAGUUGAUGUUUCAACUACUAAUCAAGAAAAAAUAUAUAAUU
rnacentral:lncRNA from 1 species